rnacentral:rRNA from 1 species
CAGUCGCCGCGGUAAAACGUAGGGUGCAAGCGUUAAUCGGAAUUACGGGGCGUAAAGCGUGCGUAGGCGGCUUCUUAAGUCGGAUGUGAAAUCCCUGAGCUUAACUUAGGAAUUGCAUUCGAUACUGGGAAGCUAGAGUAUGGGAGAGGAUGGUAGAAUUCCAGGUGUAGCGGUGAAAUGCGUAGAGAUCUGGAGGAAUACCGAUGGCGAAGGCAGCCAUCUGGCCUAAUACUGACGCUGAGGUACGAAAGCAUGGGGAGCAAACAGGAUUAGAUACCCCGGUAGUCCCUGUCUCUUAUAC